ACAAUCAGAGACUUUCCGGAGACAUAUCAAAUGCUGCUGCAAAUGUAUGAAAAUCCAAUAGCAGGUGAAGAUUGACAAACUAAGAAUGUUACAGAAGACAACAAAGCGUGAUUUAAAAAAGAAAAUCACCAAAUGUUUUAUUUGUUGGAAAGGAAAUAUUUCUCUCAAAACAUUAAGAUAUUUUGCCAAGAAGAAAAACAUCCCAUUUUUUAAAUUCCUGAACAUAAUAUAUUCUGGAGUGAAUGAGACAAAUUGCAUACUUUUGUAUCAAUUUCUCUAAACCUGUAGAAGCUUCCACUGAUGAGAAAACGGGAGUCCUGAAAAACACUCUGCUAUCAGUAACCAUUGACUUUGAGCACUUCAUGAUUGUUAGGAAAUCAAAAGAAACGGAGCUAUCAUCAUACAUAACACUAGAUAGGUCUGGUCAAUUUAAGGUCCUAGUGAUUAAAAUCGGCUAUGUUGCCAGUUAACUGCAGUGAAUGGAGAAGUGAUAAUUUUCUUUUUAAAAUGAGACGACUUGAAGAAAAUAAUUGAAACGGAAACUAGGAGAAGGUUAGGUUUGAUCAAUAAGGGAGACAAUUUUGAAGAUUACAUUGAAGAAGUCAGAGAAUUAAACAUGAUACAAGCUCACAGAGGACAUCACAAAACAGAGAAAGAUCUUUGAUGUACGAUUUCCCAUUUCCUUAAAAUUGAAAAUGUUUAUCAAAGAGUGUCUCUGAUUAAAGGAAGUAAAAUU
rnacentral:sRNA from 1 species